CACGUAGGGGACGAGCGUUGUCCGGAAUCACUGGGCGUAAAGCGCACGCAGGCGGAUUGAUAAGUCAGGGGUGAAAUCCCGGAGCUCAACUUCGGAAUUGCCUUUGAUACUGUCUGUCUUGAGUCCGGGAGAGGUGAGUGGAAUUCCUAGUGUAGAGGUGAAAUUCGUAGAUAUUAGGAAGAACACCAGUGGCGAAGGCGGCUCACUGGCCCGGUACUGACGCUCAUGUGCGAAAGCGUGGGGAGCAAACAGG
rnacentral:rRNA from 1 species